rnacentral:rRNA from 1 species
UACGUAGGGUGCAAGCGUUACUCGGAAUUACUGGGCGUAAAGCGUGCGUAGGUGGUUGUUUAAGUCUGUCGUGAAAGCCCUGGGCUCAACCUGGGAAUUGCGAUGGAUACUGGGCAACUAGAGUGUGGUAGAGGAUAGUGGAAUUUCCGGUGUAGCAGUGAAAUGCGUAGAGAUCGGAAGGAACAUCUGUGGCGAAGGCGACUAUCUGGGCCAACACUGACACUGAGGCACGAAAGCGUGGGGAGCAAACAGG